rnacentral:lncRNA from 1 species
CUAAUAUCAGGAAGAGAUUCAACCCUUCCCUAUCUCACACUCAGGACUUUGAAGGACACAUAUUAGUAAAACUCCAUGUUUGUGAAGGGAAUCAGUGAAUGACUCCUGGACUUUCACCCCAUCCCUAAAUCUUUCAUUUUGAUGGAUGAAUAUCUAAUUCGAUCAGUUAAUAUUUAAGAAAGCCAAAAAUCCAAUCAGGAUUAACUGGUCACUGCAACUUCUGCCUCCUGGGUUCAAGAAAUCCUCCUACCUCAGCCUCCCUAGUAGCUUGGACUACAGGCGCAGACCACUGCACCUGGCUAAUUUUUGCUGUCUUAGUAGAGGCAGGGUUUUACCAUGUUGGCCAGGCUCAUCUUGAACUCCUGAUCUCAGAUGAUCCAC